rnacentral:rRNA from 1 species
AAAUAGAUACCCAGGUAGUCCACGCCGUAAACGAUGAGUGCUAAGUGUUAGGGGGUUUCCGCCCCUUAGUGCUGCAGCUAACGCAUUAAGCACUCCGCCUGGGGAGUACGGUCGCAAGACUGAAACUCAAAGGAAUUGACGGGGGCCCGCACAAGCGGUGGAGCAUGUGGUUUAAUUCGAAGCAACGCGAAGAACCUUACCAGGUCUUGACAUCCCAUUGACCACUAUGGAGACAUAGUUUUCCCUUCGGGGACAACGGUGACAGGUGGUGCAUGGUUGUCGUCAGCUCGUGUCGUGAGAUGUUGGGUUAAGUCCCGCAACGAGCGCAACCCUUGUUCUUAGUUGCCAUCAUUUAGUUGGGCACUCUAAGGAGACUGCCGGUGACAAACCGGAGGAAGGUGGGGAUGACGUCAAAUCAUCAUGCCCCUUAUGACCUGGGCUACACACGUGCUACAAUGGACGGUACAAACGGUUGCCAACCCGCGAGGGGAGCUAAUCCGAAUAAAACCGUUCUCAGUUCGAUUGUAGGCUGCAACUCGCCUACAUGAAC